GACGAACGCUGGCGGCGUGCUUAACACAUGCAAGUCGAACGGAAAGGCCCUGCUUUUGUGGGGUGCUCGAGUGGCGAACGGGUGAGUAACACGUGAGUAACCUGCCCUUGACUUUGGGAUAACUUCAGGAAACUGGGGCUAAUACCGGAUAGGAGCUCCUGCUGCAUGGUGGGGGUUGGAAAGUUUCGGCGGUUGGGGAUGGACUCGCGGCUUAUCAGCUUGUUGGUGGGGUAGUGGCUUACCAAGGCUUUGACGGGUAGCCGGCCUGAGAGGGUGACCGGGCACAUGAGGACUGGGAUACGGCCCAGACUCCUACGGGAGGCAGCGGUGGGGAAUAUUGCACAGUGGGCGGAGGCCUGAUGCAGCAACGCCGCGUGCGGGAUGACGGCCUUCGGGUUGUAAACCGCUUUCGCCUGUGACGAAGCGUGAGUGACGGUAAUGGGUAAAGAAGCACCGGCUAACUACGUG
rnacentral:rRNA from 1 species